AGACUGCCGCUGUGGGAGAAGGGAGAUCUGUUUGUGUUUGGGACAACGCAAAUUUUGAUGGCAGCUGCUGACACUAGAUUUGCAAGCUAAUGCACGCGGGCUGUGCUGCUUGUCACAGCUGGUGCAAGGGUUAGUCAUGCCUCAGCUUUGAAGUAAGCAGAGUGUUCAAGGGAAUGGUCUUUACAAGGGCCAUCAGUACCUCCCUCUCCAACAACAAAACCGGAGAUGGAGAAGACAUCUUAUGUUGGAUGGUCCAGCCACUCGUAAGAGAGAGAGUACCCUGUAAUGAACUGGCCUGUAGUUCAUGCAGCCUGCUUUAAGUGCUCCUGAGGAAAGGGAUCUCUUAAAUAUUGAACACAUAGAAUUUGCAGUUGGGUUUUUUGGUUUGUUUGUCUGUUUUUCCUGAAAACAAUAACCAGUGUGUUACCUGCUCCCACGGCACCCUGCUAUGAACGUGGUAAGGAGUGGAAAACAGAGCAUUACUGUGUGAGUCAAGAGAGUACCAUCCAAUUGUCCUAGUUGUGUGAGGAAGCUUAACAAAAAAAUACAACCCAAAACAAUGCCCCAGACCAGAUUCUACCCUUUCUGCAGAGAGUGAGUGAACACAAGCAAGCAGGCAGACUAAUCAAUAAGAGACCAGGAGAAUUCAGGAAGCCAGAUACUGAGAACAGACAUGCUAGACAUGGUCCUGGAAAUUGUAUGUCUGUGAAAUCAGAAGUAUGUCUUCACCACUCUUCCAGCCCACAACAACCUGUUCCUAAGACUGAUCAAUUUAAUAUUUUGGGAGUUAAUUUAUGCUUAGAACUUCAGUAAAGAAAAUUGUGUAGAGAGAUGGAUCCAAAUUGCAAUGAAGUGACCAUUGAAAGACUUGAAAAGACCAAACAAUAACGUACAGGAGAAGAGCAGGACUUCAAGCAACCUCUGUGUGGCCUUGGAUGGAUGCAUCCACCAACAGGCAUGUGAGUUCAUGGAGAAGAUACCGCAUGUUUUGUUAUACUCCAUCUCACAGUGGAUAAACUCAGGCCCAGCAAUCAGCAAAAGGGCCAUGUUAAUCUGAAGUCCACUACUGUGCAAAAAAACUAGCUGGCGUGAGGAGGCUGGCUGCUCCUGGAUGCUGGAGUUUUUGAUCAACAGCAACUUGCAUCUCAUAUGUGAUCAAGAGCUGCUGUGUGGGGGUCAAGCAGGGGGUACAGGUGGCCCCGCGGUACCUGACACGAGGAAGGAUUCCCUCCAGCGCGGCAGCGACAGCGACCGGACCCCAUUGGAGAAGCUCCCGCGGUAACCAGAGUGGCCAGCAACUUUCUGGACAAGGAUCUUCCCACCUGUGUUGUCAAUUAUGCCACUGCAAGGGGAAAACAUGGUGUCUGAAGGUGGAAAUUCCGCCCCCAACCUUAGAAACUGUUCAACAGUGCAAGAGGUAUGAAAUGUUCACUUUUACCUUCAAACCAGGGGGUGUAUUGGAGCUGCAACACUACUGCUGUGCCUGCUGCUCAGAAAUAUUUGUGCUUCUUCCACAUAGAGAAGAGCCAUUUGUUACAAAGUGCUGUCAGGAUCUGUUUGCUCUUCCCACUGAUCUACUGGUCCUGUGUUUAAGGCUGACCUAGUUGUAUGCAAGAACAAGCUACUGUCUUCGUUAAAAUUCCUGUAAGCUUGAUUGAACGACUGAAGAUACAGGAGAGGUACUCAGAGGAGUUUUCAGGCCAACUAUGUGACAGAAAUACAAAUAUGAGGCAAACCUCCCACUUGCUUGACUUUUUCUUUUCUAAUGACAAUGUUUUCUUUGAGUUCCAGUAUGUGUUAUCUGCAAAAACCUAAGCCUGAUUCUGACCUCUGCAUGGGGUAAACAGUAUUGCUGGAAGCUGUAGAAAACCUGGCAGGCUCCAUGUGCGGUGCACAUUCAAUGGUAUUUGACACAUGAUGUAACAUGUAUCUCAAGACAAACAGAAAACCUUGAGUGCAUGCAACCUGCUGUGGCGUCAUUAGGAAAGCAGCAAACACGAGUUGCCUGUGAAACUAGAGGGGUGGUAGGACUGGCAGGAAUGACACUGUGCAGGAAAACAAGACAUGGGCAGCAAACAGUGAAGAAUAUAUUAGAGCUGUAGCUUUCUCUGAUGAUUGCAAGAAGCUGCUGGUAAAACAACUGUAGGGAAAGGAAGGCCACUGUCUGCAGAAAUGCAACAUGUAAGCUAACAAAGCCAAACCCAGCUGGCAAAUGGGGAAACUGAAACCCUCACAGCAACAAUACAAGCAGCCAGCACUGGGCCUAUGGGGAAGUCACAAUCGCCAUCAGUAUUUUGUAACUUCCCUUUGGGUUAAGCUCUGCAUGCAGAGACACACAAUUUCCAUUGUGCACAGCAUCUGAAGGAAGAAUUUGUCAUCUGAAGCCAGUCACCGGGCAGUCAUCUCCCCAGCGAGGGGCUGAGUGGCAGGAGCUGCAGCCAGGAGGUGGCAGCCCUACGCGCAGCGACACGUCAGCCUGUGCACUGCACUGUGUAGAGAGAAGGUGCAAAGUCCCAAAGCCUGAACUAUUCAUUUAACUUCACUCAGGAUCCCAGCUAUUUUACAGAACUGGAAGCACUGCCAUAGCUCAAAUACCUCUGAACAAAGUCAAGUUGUCAGUCAGGCUGUGUAAGUUCUUACUGCAUUUUCAGUUGCCUCUGCAUCCUGUCUGCAAUGAUGGUGUGUUUUGCUUGUGAAGUUAUUCUCCAUUAAAAUUUUAUGCACAUUUUUGCAUGGCUAAUGGAACUCUGCAAAAUUUCUGCUAUAAAAUUUGUAUUAUACAUUUUUCUCA